rnacentral:lncRNA from 1 species
AUGGUCUCUUAAUUGAGAAUUGCCAAACAUGGAUAACUUGUCUUGAAAGAAUUAUAGCAUAACUCAAAACUCCUAACCAAAAGAAAAGGGCUAAUUGAGGCAUAACUCAGUUUUUCUUGGGUGACUCACAAUUUCUCCCAGUCUCUGAGUGGUUCUGAGUGAAUUCUUUUAAAUGGAGGUUGUUAACUGGAACCUCAAAACAAACCCGUGAAGAAUUGAGCUUUCUUGUUAUUACAUUUCUAUUCACUAAGCCAAGAAAGGCCAGUGGAGCCACCUGAGAUUUUGAGAAUAAUCUAUAGCAGUGGGUUCUUAUUUCAGAUCUUUGGGAGUGACUAACUAAAGAACACAGUGGGUGAAUCUCAUCUAACACUAAUAGCUGGAUCUGUAAGAAACACCCACAACAUGGAAUUAAUAAUAAGAUGUGUCACCACAGUCUUGUGACAGUGAUUCUUUUACAACAGUUUUGAACUCUCUAUUGAGUGCCUCGCAACACCUCAAAUCACCUUUUAAGAUAAUUUGAAAUGCCUUAAUGGAGACUAUUAAUAAACGAGUACCUGUACUUCUUUAAGUAAUGAUUAAGUGGCUCCAGUAACCAUUUACCAAUAGCGUUGAUGGCAUAGAUAAUAGGACAGAAUAACCCAAAGGUGAUUUAAGGACAAUGUAAGUUAUAUAAGAGAAAUGAAAAAUCUUGGAAUGAAAAGUUAAGAAAAUUCUUCAACUCUACUACUUACAUUGGGGAUGAAGUUUUCAACAGGACUGAAAAGAACAUGCAAAAUACAACAUGGUAAUACAUUAUUAGAAAAACUAUACAAACCAAAGAAUAGUGACAUUGUUUCACUGCAGAAAAUGCAGUUGUCAAGUGGGAGAAUCCAGUGAGAAUAUCCCACAAUGCUAAGCUGCAACCAUCUAAUUGGUGUAGGAUUCAAUACCAUCUCCUCAUCAUUGUCCUUCUUAACGCGUGGAUAUCAGUUUUGCUUUCGUGUUUAUAUUAUGCUGAUUAAGGAUCACUUCCAACAACAAAAGGAUUUCACUGUUCUAUUACAGUGCUCGGAGAAAUACUUUGCACACUGUAUUCCUGUGCAAUACAUUGACAGUGUGUUGACUUGACAACUACUUAUUGAAUAAGUAGUCUGAAGUGCUCAUUCAAAGGAUUUGUUGUGAAGUAUGGCAUAUUCCAUUCUUACUGAGAUGGUCCAUACAUGGCGACAGUAGUGGUGGGAAAGUUUGACCCAUUUCAAAGAUGUUCUACAAACAUGAGAUCAUCCUGAAUGUUUUUCUGUCUUUCCUUGUUUUCACAAAAUAACUCAGGCUGUGUACUAUAGGCAUAUAUUUUCCACAACUUUAAUAAGGGCUCAACAUCUGCAUUAGCUCACCACCCAGCUAAGGCAGUGGAAGAGAAUGGUUAUUAGGAUACGGUGGGGGAUGUGGACGUGUUUAAAAAUAGUCCUUUGGGGUGAUUCCAGUUCUCAGUGCAGUCCACCAGGCAGAUACCACACAGGAAACAGCACCAGCAGUUCACUCCAGACGAAACCAUGAGGCUCAUCAGACAGCAAAACGUCAUUAUAACCUAACUGAGUCCCCAAAGAAACCAGAAAUGUCUACUGCAGAGUGCUUUAUAAAGAAAAGAAGUUUAUUUUUCUCCAGUUCAGAAGCUCAAGAUGGUGAGCAGUGUACGCUCAGCUCUGGUGAGGCCCAGGCUUAGGUCCUGCAGUAGAACAGAGGCGGGAAAGGCCAGUCUGGUUGUCUGUAAUAACCUUCUCUCAAGAACUCACCAGAGUCCCAUGAAAACCACCUAAGGCUUAGGGUGUGGCUAGAGGCUCGCCCCAAAAUCGUGAAUCCCCAUGGAGGUGAAGAUCAGAAGUUCAAGACCAUCCUUGGCUACACAGGAAGUUCAAAGCCAAUGUGGGCUACUGAAAGACAAACACGCAAGAAGGAAGCAUCCUAAGUCUUUGUCUGCAAUGGCCUAACAAACUCCGAGGAAGACCCAUCCCUUAAAGGUCUCAGCAUCCAAAACUGCUACACUAGGACCAAGCAUCCAACUCUUGGAGAGUGCACCAUAUCCAAGCCUUAUCCAACCAUUAAAACCAUAUUCACACCCUAGCAAGUAUCUUCAUGGAGAAAGCAGCAUCUAAUGGCAUAGGGGUUAUAUUAGAUAUACGCCAUUCUACCUUCAAAUCAUUUGUAUUUUUUAUAAAUACAAAUAAAACCAGUGUUGAGGAUAUAUUAUGAAAGCCUGGUAUGGUGGUACCUACCUGCAGUCUAACUACUUGGGAGGCUGAGUCAAGAAAUUCUUGAAUUUAGGUCCAGGGCUACACAAUAUAUUCCAGACCAACCUGGACUCAAUAGGAAGAUACUACCUCAUAAAAAUGAACAAAAAUUAUGAGAAUGUAUUUUGAUAAAAGGAAAAUGCCUCAUUUUUAAAGGAUAUAAUUAAAGAGGAUGACAGAACAUUCUCUAUCCUUACGUCUUAUGUCUCAGCCCUUUGAAUCUUUACAGCAACAUUCCACCAAGGAUAAAAAAGAUGAGAUUUUUACUCACUG